GUGUUGUGAGGUUACUCCAGAAUAAAAUAAAAUAGUUGUUGCUAACUCUGAUUUCUAGCAACUGGAGGGAAGACACAGAGAUUAGAGGUGAUUAUAUUUUAAGGAUGGGAUGGGCAGCUGUCAGUGAUAUGAAUACAGAAGGAUUAUUAUUGCUCCCUCCGUGUAGAAAUGUGCGACACACGCCAUCAUCACUAUGUAGACAGAACUCUACAGGACAGAAAUCAUCUCUUAUCUCCCAUGAUUUAACUGUUAAUAUGUGAAAUGGCAUAUGUAAUUAUAAACUAACGGCUUUAUUUAUUUUUUCAUUAAUUUGCUCAACUUAGCAGGGUAUACUACCAAACAAACCUACAGCGUCUGCUUCACCACCUGGAUAACGACUUUGUAACACCGGGGCUAAAGCCGACAACCCGCAUGCCCUGCUGGACCAAAGCCCGGGUUACAGCCGCUCCAAUCCCCACCGAGGCUCCGGUCACCAGGGCCACUCUGCCUUUCCACCGCUCCAUCUCCACCAAGCGUCUUCACCGGGACCGUUUCUGUGACGCGAGCCUACGGCUCCCCCGUGCUGCGCUUCUGCCGAGCCCCAAACCAGGCUGCCGCGGUCGAGGAUGUCGCGGGGGUUACGUACGGUAUUCGAAAUAUGGGAUGCAGCCGUUCCAGAGUCCCGUGUCAGUCUGCGCAGCGUCCAGGACGACGGCGGCAAUAAGAGGUCGUAAAGAUCGAUCCAUGCGCCUCUCGGACCGAAA